AGGGGCAUGGAGUUAAUUAUUAGCGUACAUUGUGCUGGCUAAUCAGCCAUGUCUCCGUUUAGGGCAGGUUAGGGCACAUUAGACGGUAACUCUGCCCGCGAGGAUACCAUCCACAGCGGGUGACUGCUGCCUUAGGAGCCUGACGUUCGGAUGAGGCAGUGCAUCCUGCCAGCACAUGUCCAGCAUGGAAGAGUGGGCAGCUUCUUUUGAGUCUCCAGGUGACCCUGUACAACAACUGGAGAGGAGCAGUGAGGUCCUACUGACAAUACAGGACACGUGGGGUCGCCAGCGUUGAUGGUCACUUCUCCAGAUUUGAUGUUGGAACCCAGGGCUUGUGAGUCAGAGCACAAUGUCAAGUCCGACUAUUAUCUAGUUCUCCUUUCAAAGGACACAUGGAAGAAACCAACCUGAGUUUCCUGAGUGACAGUGGGAUUCAGUGAUCCCCGGGACUCCCGACCUAUGAAGUAGGACAAUAUGGAAGGUUCCCGAGCUGCGCACCACACAGCAUCAUGUUCUGUGAUCAUGCUUCCUCAA